GGGACGGCGCAGGCGCUGCUGGGCGCCGCUGGGGUGGAGGCGGACGCGCGCGACCUCAGGGGCCGCACGCCUCUGCACGCCGCCUCCGCCGACGACCGCCACGACGUCGCCAGGCUGCUGGUGAGCGCUGGGUGCGACGUCGAGUCGCGGGACAGCGAGGGCAACACGCCGCUGCACGCCGCCGUCGACGCCAACCGCGUGAGGCUAGUGCGACUCCUGCUGGAGGCCGGCGCGGACCACAGGGCCAGGAACAGCCAAGGGCAGCUCCCGCUGGACUUGGCUCGCAAGCUAGGCGGCAAGGCGAGGAAGUAUGAGGCAAUAUUCGAGAAGGUUGCUGCCUCAAGGAAGAGACUUGCAGAUGCUAAGAAAUGAAAAGCAAUAUGUAAGGAGUACCUAAUAAAAGAUAAUGAUAAAUCAUUUCAUUACUUCAGGUUUUUGAUACAAUAAAAACCACUGUCAAGUGCA